AGCCUUAGCACUGCUUUUGGAGAGUCAACUUUUACCACAGGAAAAAGCAGGAAGCCCGUUAAUUAAAAAUAACAAACAGCUAAAGGACACAUUUCCCCUGUGUUUUGGCUCAGCUUGUAAGGAUGAGAGAAGCUCGACGAAGCACUUGUGUUGAAGCACGGCAGACGUGGUGCUGUCCCAGAGCAAGGUGCAGAUAGUGGGGUGCGCUGACACCCCACUGAUGGUGCCACCCUCGAUGCUGGUGGUGAUUUCAGUAGGGAAAUUGGAUCAACAUUUUGUAACUUCUUCAUCCAUCUAACUGGUUCCUGCUGCUGAAGUACCUGAGCAGCUGCCUGGCUCGGGUUAUUAGGACCACAUCACACCAUAGGAAAAUCCAAACCAAAACUAGAGAGCCAAAGCAGGACUGAGGAGCAGGUUUUCAGGUUAUUCAGGCAGCUAGGGGAGCACUCCAUACCAUCCCUUGCUCCUGCUAGCAGGUGCUUUUGGAAAUUUGCCAUCUGCCAAGCAAAAUGUGUUGUUUGGCAUUCAGCAGGAAAACUGGGAGAGACGCCGUGAUUGACCUAACCCUUCACAGCAGAAAUGCCCUUGUCGGAGAACAGUGACUGUACACAGCAAUGAAUGACAUGGUGGCAGUCAUGAGUGGCUUCAUUAAGAAAACAUAUGCAAAUACUUUGGGAGGUAUUACACCGUCUGAUUAAUUUAAUGGGUGGAAAGAUGUAGAUACAAGAAGCUGUUUAUUUUUCCAUUAUAAAACACUCUUCCUUCACCAAAGAACAAAAAGGAAGAAGAGCAGAUCUAAUAGCCAGCUGUGGAGAAAAGCAGAUUGUUAAACGUAAGACAACCUGUACAAUGCGGGUAGUGUGACUGACGACUUUUUAUUACUGUGUGUAUGACUGCGACAAAGCAGAGACUAUUUUUUUGCUUUUAUGAGCUAAUAUGACUCAAGAUUAAGCUUUAUUGUGAAUUUUGAAUGUGGGCCCAGUCCUGUCAGGUGCUGAGCACCCAAUCCAGAAAGCAUCUGUUGGGAGUUAAGGAAGGCCAGUGGAACUGUGCACAUUAAAAUAAAUUAAUUAAUUAAUUUAAAAAAAUUCCAAACUGAGUGAUCGUGUUAGCCCUUCGUUGUAUCGGGUAAUAUCUGCCCUUCUGCAUAACUAUAAAGGACUCUUUGUUGUUUUUUUUUUUAAUAUAUAUUACCUCAUCUCAGUUUCUGCAACCUGUGCUUACAUAGAUUCUGUUUCUGCAAAUGUAUUCUUCAGUACUGGAAGUGUGAACAUGAAUGCAAGAGUCUGAAGCACUUUCCUGAGCUGUGCUCAUCCACAGACUCACCAAUUCAUUUGUGUGGGGUUUACAAUAAUGUUUUGUUAUUGUUUUAUGUCAA